rnacentral:lncRNA from 1 species
GUUACCAACUGCCUCGUGAUCUGAAAACAUGAAUUUGAAAAUUGUGAGUAUAAACCCAGUGAGUGAACAAGGAAGGGAACAAGCAACCAUAAGGAAUCUUUAACGAAAUCAUGAUGCAUUUCUUUUCAAAACAAUGCAAUUUGUUUCUAUUCUUAUUAAAUACCCCUCAUCAAGCCCUUAAAUGAUUAAUCAUUUGAAAAUCAUGAACCCAUACAUAGCGAAUCAUUUGAAGAAUGAAAGCUUCAAUAUUACACAAGCAAUUCAAAUACGACAACGAAUCUUCGCUGCAACGAGAAUGCCUUUCCGUUGCAGCGACGUUGGGAUUUAGUUAUUAGCCGAACGAGGGUUUCUCAACUAGCCGAGGGUUUCUCACUAAACCUCCUCAUUUUAAACUUAACUCAUUUAAUCCUUAAUGUUGGAAGUCCAUGCUCCGAUAUGGUAGCAAAGAAGUGAAAGAUAGGGCAGCAAUUGGACAAGAUAAGAGACCAAAAUAGAAAGUUUUUCGCUGAAGCAAGAUUGAAUCUCGCUGCAGCGAAAUUGAAUCUCGCUGUAGCAAAAUUGUAACCCAGAAACAGAAUGUUUUUCACUGCAGCAAAUUUCAAUCUCGCUGCAGUGAAAUUUCAACCCAGAAACAGAAAGUUUCUCGCUGCAGCGAGAAUGUAUUUCGUUGUAGCGAGUUUCAGGCUAGCCUACCCUUUCAAAACCCGAGAGUUUCUCACUGCAGCGAAAUACAGGGCACCAAAUGAAAAUUUCCCUUUCUCCCAAAGAAAACCACCCUGCUUGAAAUGUUCAAAACCAAUAAGAAAUACAUAACAACUUCCCAAAGUUUAACAUACCGAAUUUCACAUACAUUACAUCCAUAUACAUAACUCAUAAAUUUCUUAUAACACACAUGUUUACGUAUGUAUACAUAUACAUAUACCCAUCACCAUCAUGCACACCAUCCCACCAUCAUGCACACCAUCCCAUCAUCAUCAUCACCAGCUCAUGCUCACUCCCUACUCGCACAUGGCUGGGUCAUCACCGGGUUAUGCGUACUCCCUACUCGCACAUAACCAGAUCAUCCUCGACUUAUGAGCACUCCCUACUCGCACAUAGCCGAGUCAAUAUAAUUACACAACAUUAUACUCAAGCAUAUAUGUAUAUCAACAUAAUGCAACCACAUAGAAAUCCACAAUAACCACAUAUCAUAACAUAAACCAUUUCACAAAAGCUUGUUCCCAAGGCAUUCAUUUUUUAGAAAAGUUGUAUAAAAUCAUUCAAACACUUUGUUCAAAACAGUCAUAUUCCCAAAACAAUUUUGAUAGGCAGUCCACUCACCAAUUGAUUGUAGAGCCUUUAGAUGACUCCAAUUCUCCUAAUUGUCCAAAUGGGAUGAUGGGGCUUCCUUAGAACCUAGGAUCACAUUAACAUAAACAAUAGAUCAAUUUACACACUAUGAACCCUAAAAGCUAUCUCUUAGCUAGUUUUCAAUUGCCACAUUAAAUGGCUAUCUAUGUUCACUAUCUUAAUCACAAAAAAAGUAAUGAACAUACUCAAUAAUAAAACAGCUCUUAAUCUAAAUUACUAGUCAUUAUUCAUAGCUAAAAUUCAAGCUUUUUGCAUCACUCACCCGAGGGUUCCUUUAUAGUUGGAUUCUCUUCCAAUAGCUUCAAAAUCAAUUGGUUAAUUCUCUCUUUCUCUCUCUAAAAUGCCCAACUAGUGAGUGAAAGUUUGGAAAUAAUAUUUAUCAAGGGUUUUGAAGUGAGAAAGUGAAAGAAUACUAGAGUUCUAAUCAAAAGGGUUCAAAGGUAUGAAAACUAGAGCUAGAGAGAGAAAAUUAAGCAAGCUUCAAAUCAAGCUUCCAUGGAGUUUUGAAGAAACGUGAGAGAGGAGAAGAAGAAAAAGACAAGCUACUGGAAAAUCUCUAGAAGCUGGUGGAAAUUCAAGAUAUUUAUAGCCAAUCUUAUCCCUUACCUUAAAAUUACGAAAAUGCCCCUCCAUCAAUUAACUUAUUCUCCUCCAAUCUUUUAUGCAAUCUUUUUGCUCUUUUAACACUAGGACAAGAUCCAUGAUGGUCUAGACAUGUUCGGGUUCAUAAAAAAUUAAAAUUUUAACUCGAGGUGAAAAAUGACCAUUUUGCCCCUGUUAUGAAAAUUAUUGUCAUUUCUAGUUUUCUUUGUGUUUUCAUCAGUACACAUCAUUUAUACUGUCUUAUGCCUAUUUAGGCCUUAAAAUAUCAUAAAACUUUCUUCUGGGAGCUUAUUAGAGAAAAUGAUGAAACUACCCCUAGCUCAUAUUAUUACAUCAAUGCUUAGCUACAAGCUUAUAGAGGUUGGGGUCUCACAAUAUUAAUGAUGAAUUUUGUUAUAUUUCAUAUUAUUUAGUGCGUAUUUGAUGAUUUAUAGUAUCGGAUAUUGACAAUGGUUAUCGAAAAGUAUAGUGCUUUUAGUAAACGACUUGAACGACAACGAGAAAAUCAUGGUAAAUGACUUGAAUUUGAUUUCUAAUUAUAUAUACGGACUUAUUGGACUGCAUUGACACUAAUUAGCACGUUAGUUUGGAAUCAGAAUGAGUUUCAGAUGUGAUCAUUUAAGUCACAAUCAAGUUCAUUGAGGUACUUUAGGGGUAUUUGGAGUACCAAAAGUGCAAUGAAUCUAUUUGGAGUUGAAUCGGAUGUUUUGGCUAAUUAAACAGUGUAUAGUGCGAGUUAGGUCGAAUACCAUUUUAGUCCAAUAACAAUUGAACCUACGUAGAACACCAUCUUUAAGUGAUUAUUCGAACAUUUCUCAUUCAAUUUCAUACAUUCAUAUAGAGCUUGGAAGAGUUUUAUAACAGUUUGGCACAAAUGUAUUGAAUUACUUGUUGUGUAUUAAGUAUAGGUGGUGAGCCCUCUGGUAAGGGUAAGGAUAUCGUACUCGAGGACCAAGAGCAGGAGUACUUCCGUUAUUGUGAGUAAAUAGACUAUCAUCUUAACUAUCUAAAGUAGUUUAUACUCGUUUUUAUGAUUUUAAAGAAUAAUGAACUUAAAUUGUAAACUAUUAUGUUUUAUAACUGAAGUGUUGGUUAAAUGAAAUGAGAUUCAUAAUUUGGCUUGAAAUUGAAUGCUGGUUUUGGAAAUUGAGUAAGCGGAGACUAUACACUUGUGUUAUAUAUAUGUUUUGACUAUUGUUAGUUGUGCUGACUGUGAGACCUCAACCCCUAUAGGCUCAUAACUACGCAUAGAGGCAAUAACAUGGGCUAGGGGUAGUUUCAUCAUUUUCUCUAAAAAAAAAGCUCCCAGAAAAAGGUUUAAUGAUAUUUUAAGGUCUAAAUAAGCAUAAGACCGAAUAAAUAAUGUGUAAUGAUGAAAACACGAAGAAAACUAGAAGUUUCAAUAAUUUUCACAAUAGAGGCAAAAUGGUCAUUUUGCACGCCGAGUCAAAAUUUUAAGGUUUUGUAAACUUGAAUAGUUUAGAUCAUUGUGGACCUUGUCCCAGUGUCAAAAGAUUAAAAAGAUUGCACAAAGGAUUAGAGAAGAACAAGUUAACUUGCUAAAGGGCAUUUUCGUAAUUUUCAAGGGAAUUGGAUAAGUUUGAGUAUAAAUAUCUUCUCCUUCCAGUAGCUUCUUCAAUUUUUAGCAGCUUUUUCUUCUUCCUUCUUCCAUCUCACGUUGCUUUCAUCCUCCAUGGAAGCUUGAUAUGAAACUUUCACAACUUUUUCUCUUUAGCUCUAAUUUUCAUACCUUUGCGCCCUUUUGACUAGAACCCUUGUGCUCUUUCACUCUCUCACUUUAAAACCCUCAAAAAGUCCUUGGUCAGCACUUUCUCUCACAAGUUGGAGGUUUUAGAGAGAAAAAGAGAGAUUUUCCACAUUUGUUUGGAAGCUAUUGGAAGAGAAUUAAACUAUAAAGAAACCCUAAGGUGAGUGAUGAACUAGGCUUGGUUUUAAGUUGUUGAUAAUGGCUAGUAAUUGGGAUUAUGAGCUGUUUUAUUGUUGAGUUGUUUACUCAUUUUUAGUGUGAUUAGAGUAGUGCAAGGAAUAGCCAUUUGAUAUAGUUGGAAGCCAAUUAGGAAUGACUAGUAGAAUUUGAAUUAGAAACUAGCUUUUGGAGUGAUAUUAAUGUAAAUUGGAUUGGUUGUGAUGUUGUGUGUGUAUAGGUUCCAACAAGGCCUCACAUGUCCAUUUGGAGUAUUAGUUGAGGUUAGAGUCAAGCAAAAGAAACAACAAGACCGGUGAGUGAACUUGCAUUUCAAAGUAUUUUUGGGAAUGUGAAUGUGUUUGCACAAGACAUUAAAUGAUUUUAUCAAACUUUUCUUAAGAAUGGGUGCCUUGGGAACAAGCCCUUGAUAAAUUAUCUUUGUGUUGUGAUAUGUGGCUAUUAUGGAUUUAUAUACUGCUACAUUAUGUUGAUAUAUAUAUACGAAUAAUGUUGUGUAAUAAUAUUGACCCGACUAUGUGCAAGUAGGAGUACGCAUAAGCUGUUGCUAACUCAGCUAUGUGCGAGUGGGAGUGCGUAGCUGACCCGGCUAUGUGCGAGUGGGAGUGCAUAGCUGACCCGGCUAUGUGCGAGUAGGAGAACGCAUAAGCCAUUGCAUAUGAGCUGAUGAUGAUGGGAGGGUGUGCAUGAUGAUUGAUAUAUAUAUAUAUAUAUAUAUACAUAUAUGGUAUAUGGUUGUAAUGCAUGUGAAAUUUUGGCAUGUUGAACUUCGAAAAUUUUUGAGCAUUUCAUGUUGAAAUUGGCAUGAUGAAUCUUGAGAAUGUCCUAUUUUCUUACAAAUUGAGUUCAUUUCAACACCAAAUGGAUUUUUAGUGCAAAAGAGGUCUUUUUUUCACUUAGGUGCCCUACUUCUCACUGCAGCAAGAAUACAGCGAGAAACAUUCUGUUAUGGUAGCAGAAAACUCGCUGCAACGAAAAUAAAUCUCGCUACAGCGAGAAACUUUCAGGUUCUGAUGUAGUGCCUUCAAUUUGAUGAAGAUUUUGACUACCUUCCCGUCCAAACUGGGAAAAGUGGUAAACAUCAAAGUUGUAUCCCAGCCUCUCAGCUUUUUAAUGGUUCAAAAAUCAGGUCAAUUGGACUUCUGUAACAAUAGAUAUGCCAGAAAAACUAAAAUACAUGCAAACUAGUAUUGUUUCUCGCUGCAGCGAGAAACAUUCUAUCCUACAUGCUACCCUAUUCGAUUUUUGAAAUAUUUUUCACUCAUUUAACUUCAUGGAUUGAUCAUGGGUUGUUGCAACACUAUGAGGUUAUUAAUCAAAGUUUGAAAUGAGGUGUUUUUAGUAAGAAAUUAAAUCAAUUACAUUGUUUUUAAAACAAGUGCAUCAUGAUUUCCAAAUUCUUCCUAUUGAUUGCUUGUUCCCUUCUUAUGUUCACUCACUGAGUUUUAUACUCACGUUUUUAAACUUCAUGUUUUCAUAUUCGAAGGCAGUUGGGACCUAGAUUGAGUCGCACACAUAUGCUCACCUUCUUGGUAGGUACUAUGGCAUCUCAGUAGCUGUACCCUCACCCACGGUCACUCUGCUGAUGGUCAAGAGUCGUAUACUUGUGUAUACGUAUAAGUAAUGUAGACCACUCAGAUUCAUGUUAGAAAAAUCAAAUGUGUAUAUUUGAUUACUGAUGCCAUUAUAGGCUGGCAAACGAGUAACAUUAUUUUAACAUAAUACGAAUGUGAAUAUUGGGUUACUAUAAAAUGUUAUUGAAAUAUUUAUAAUUGAGAGUUGCAAUAUGUGGUUUUAGAAUGAUGAUCAAGUUUGCAUAAAAAAGGCUUGCUUGGGCUUAGUGGGUUAUGCCCAUUGGGCCCAUGCGCCAUCAUACUGCCAAAAUUUUAUUGAUUUAGUGGGGUAAUUGAUUAGCUUACUGCAUUGAGCGGGUUUCUGUGGACUGGCCUAUUAGAGGAGCACGGUAAACCCCAUCAUAUUUUACCUUAGUAUGAGAGGCGCGAAGGGUAUCUCCUAAGGUAGUUUAGAGUUCACUUCACACCAAACCACCACGUAAGGGUGAAACUCAGCCAACGCCAAGGAAUGGCUAUGUUUUUAAAUGUAAAAAUAUGUUUUAUGUAUAUGUUAUUUUAACAACCUUGACGGACUCAGUUGGAUGCCCUGCACAAGGUGUCACUGAGUACAAGUUUUAGCAUGAGCCAAGUUUUUAAGAGAGUCAUAAGCCUUGUUGAAUUUUUUUUAUGAAAUGUAACUGUUUUAUAUGGGUUGAAAUGAGUUUUAAGGUUAUGAAUCAUAUUAUGAUGAGAAGUUUUAAUUGUCUCCAUUUACUCGGCUUUAGAUGCUAUAGAUGAUCUUUUCUUACUCACUGGGUUUAUAAAAACUCACCACCCUUCUUUCACCCAUUUCAGGCUCAGGGCAGUCUGUAGACUGUCAAUUUUGUCGAAGGUUUGCUUUUGGAUUCGCACCCUUAAAAAUCAUAGGUUUACAAUCGUGUUUAUUUUUGUCAUUUUGGGGCUCACAUGUCAUUGUAGAAUAUUUUUGUAUACCUUCGUGCAAUGUGCUAUUAUAUAUACGAAUUUAUUUUGUUAUUACUUUUCAUUAACUGUUUACGUAGAAUUUUAUAAAUAUUGUUUUAUAUGAAAAUAGAAUAUUUUAUUCAAUAUUUUUUUAUUUAGUUUGAUUAGCUAUAAUUCCACUUUAAAUGGAUGAUUUAGAUACCUAAAUUUAUUUUUAGAUAUGAAAUGUAUAUUUUUUAUUUAUAUAUUAUAUUUUUAGCAAGUUUCGAAAUUUUCGGGUAGAAUGACCAAAAUACUCCUGUGCGGUAGAAAUUACUUUUUGAUUGUCUUUAAUUUGAAAAUAGUCUAUAUUCCUUUAAAAUAUGAUAUUUAGUAACUACUGCUCACAAGAGAGGCAGAGAACUGAUGCUAGAGCCUUGCGAGGUUUCGGUUGACAUUUCGGGUCAGGUAUGUUUAUCGGGACAUCGCAACGGUUGUCACGGGCUCGAAGAGAGUACUGGGUCGUGACAUAUGUAUUCUAAAUUUUAUACCCUUUGGGACUUGGAUCUGUUAUAUGAAGUUGAGAUUUAGUGUUGCUACUUUAGCAUGAUUUCCAAGGGUAAAAAAUGAUACGAUUUAACGGAACAUGACUAAGAAAGCAGCCAGAUCUUAAUGGAUUGACAUGAGUAUCCAAAUAAGAGUCAUUAUAUAUCUCACAUACAUGGUCUAUAACUUAUUGCUCAAGCAGUUAUAAAAACAUUAGUUGUCAGAUAUAACCAUGAGUUUAGACACACAAAGAGAUUUUGCAUAGCUCUUACAUAUAGGAGGGAUCAAAGAUGCAAAAUCUUGUGUGAUUAAAAUGAUUUGGGGUAUGACGAGAACUCAAGCGGUGUUAUGUUAGUAAAAUGGUAACUUAACAUCUCAUUGCUCACCAAUACCUUUAUUUUCUUGUUGGUCACACGUUCCAUUUUCCUUGUAUGACAAUGAAUGAAGAAUGAAUUAAAUUGAGAAUGGUAUAAGUUGAUGCCAAUGUGUACGAGUAGGAGAUGUUGCAUUUAAAUGUAGUGUGUCCACAUAGCAUGCAACUUUAUUAAUUAUUUGUGGAUAUAUAACUAAUAUUCAAUUAAUUAAUAUUAGAUAUUAUUCUGAUAUUCCUUAAUUGAAUAAUUAAAAAUAAAUGUUUAAGAUAGGAUAUAAAUUUAAAUUUAAUUUGUUUAAAUUUAAAUUAUCUAUCCAUUAUAUUUAAGUUUAAUUUGUUUAAAUUUAAAUGAAGAUUAAUUACAUUUAAAUUUAAUUAGUUUAAAUUUAAAUAUAAUAUCUUAUCUCUAUAUCUUUAAUACGUCUAUAAAUAGUGAACAGACGUACUAGUUUCAACACACAACCAAAGAGUGAAUGUGAGUUCUUCUGUAAGUCAAAAAAACCAAAAACUCUUUUCUCCUUUUUUUUUCUUUCUCUACAUACUUGAAGCACCAUCAAAGGCCAAAGGGUUUUGGAACGUGUAAUUCCUUGUGGAGAACUUUAGUAUAUGCUCCAUAACAACGAGAGUAAAGAAAUUAUUGUGUGCAUGAAAAAGGAUUUGUAAGGCAAGCUUCUUCGAUCAGAAAGGUAGUAGAAUAUUUAUCUGAAAAUGUAAGCCCACCUCCCAACAAUCCAAGACUUAGACUAAUCUAUCAACUUUGUGCUUUUUAUAUUAAUUCGUCUACCUACCUAAUUGACAUAAGUUGGAAUCAUGGAACAAUUAGAAUUAAUUUGUUAGUUGUUGCCAGUUAAAACUAUUUUUCCACUAGGCUACAGUAAGUCUAACCUUCCUAAAGAGAACAUAAAACUCUUCUCACUUAGCUACAUUGCCAAACCCAUUUAUCAUACAAAUUACACUCCCAUAGAAAUAACAAUCCCAUUAACACACACACAAAUAUAUAUAUAUAUAUAUAUAUAUAUAUAUAUAUAUAUAUAUAUAAANAGUAUGGGAGUAAGACUUUUUAAGGGUUUUAAGGUGAGAGACUGAAAAGAGCAUGAAAAACCCUAUAACAAGGUGUGUAAAAGCAUGAAAUUUAAGAUUAGUUUGAGAGGGUGAUGGAAGCGUUGAGAGAAGCUUUCAUGGAGGAUGAAAAAAAUGUGAGAUGGGAGGAAGAAGAAGAAGAAGCUGCUGGAAAAAUGAGGAAGCUGCUUGUGAGACCUUGACCUUUAUAGACUCGUAGAUAGAAGUACACGCGAUAUCCCUGAUCAAGGGUAAUUUCAUCAUUUCCUUAGUAAGCCCCUAAAAGUAAGUUUUAAACAAUAUUAAGGCCUAAGUAGGCCUAAGGCAUAAAUGAAUGAUGAAAAUAUGAGUAAAAUGACAAGGAAAUAAAAAUUUUGAUGAUUUUCACGAUAGGGGCAAAAUGGUCAUUUUUCACCUCGAGUUAGAAUUUUUAAGUUUUCAUGAAUACGAGCAUUUCUAGACCAUUAUGGACCUUGUCCUAGUGUCAAAAAAGUAAAAGAUUUCAUAAAAGAUUAGAGGAGAAUAAGCUAAUUUGUGGAGGGGCAUUUUGAUAAUUUAAGUGGAGUGGAUAAGCUUGGGCUAUAAAUAUCUUUCUUCCAACAACUUCUACAUUCUCUAGCAGCUUUUCUUCUUCUUCUUCUUCUUCUUCUCUUUCACGUUGCUUCCCAACCUCCAUGAAAACUUGAUAAGAAAGCUCCACACCCUUCUUUAAAUAGCUUCAAAUUUCAAGCUUUUGGUGCACCCUUUCCAUAAACCCUUGUGCUCUUCCAUUCUCUCACUUUAAAACCCUUGAAAAAAAUCUUGUUUCCAUACUCUCUUUCACUAGUUAGGUGUUUUAGAAAGAGAAAGAGGAAGCUUUACAAUAGUUUGGAGAAUUGUUGGAAAGAAUUUCAAAGUUUCAAAGCUAUUAAGGUGAGUAAUAAAUUAGAGUUGAAAUUUUAGUGUUGAGAAUGACUAGAGAUUUGAUUUGUGAAUACCUUGUAGUUGAGAUUGUAAAUUCACUUUGGAGUGAUAGAAUAGUGAAAAUGGAUAGCCAUUUAAUGGCAAAUGGAAGCUAGCUAAGAAAAAGCUUUUAGAAUUCAUAAGUAUGUGGCUUGACUUAAUGCUGAUGCUAAUGUGAUAAUAGGUUCCAACAAAGCCGCAUCACCCCAUUUGGACAAUUAGAGAAGUUAGAGUUGACUAAAGGAUUCAACAAAUACCGGUGAGUGAACUUGCAUUUCAAAAUAGUUUUGGGAAUGUAAAUGACUUAUCCAAUUUUUUUUAAAAACGGGUGCCUUGGGAACAAGCCUUUGAUAAAUUGUCUCUAUGUGUGACAUGUGGCUGUUAUGGAUUGUUGUAUUACUACAUUAUGUUGAUCUAAAUAUAUAUGAAUAAUAUUGUGUAAUGAUAUUGACCCGACUAUGUGCGAGUAGGAGUGUGUAUAAGCCGAUGCUGACCCGGUUAUGUGCGAGUGGGAGUGUGCAUAAGCCGCUGCUGACCUGACUAUGUGCGAGUGGGAGUGCGCAUAAGCUGAUGCAUAUGAGCUGAUGAUGAUGGGAGGGUGUGUAUGAUGAUUGAUGUAUAUAUAUAUAUAUAUAUAUAUAUAUACAUCAAUCAUCAUACACACCCUCCCAUCAUCAUCAGCUCAUAUGCAUCAGCUUAUGCGCACUCCCACUCGCACAUAGUCAGGUCAGCAGCGGCUUAUGCACACUCCCACUCGCACAUAACCGGGUCAGCAUCGGCUUAUACACACUCCUACUCGCACAUAGUCGGGUCAAUAUCAUUACACAAUAUUAUUCAUAUAUAUUUAGAUCAACAUAAUGUAGUAAUACAACAAUCCAUAACAGCCACAUGUCACACAUAGAGACAAUUUAUCAAAGGCUUGUUCCCAAGGCACCCGUUUUUAAAAAAAAUUGGAUAAGUCAUUUACAUUCCCAAAACUAUUUUGAAAUGCAAGUUCACUCACCGGUAUUUGUUGAAUCCUUUAGUCAACUCUAACUUCUCUAAUUGUCCAAAUGGGGUGAUGCGGCUUUGUUGGAACCUAUUAUCACAUUAGCAUCAGCAUUAAGUCAAGCCACAUACUUAUGAAUUCUAAAAGCUUUUUCUUAGCUAGCUUCCAUUUGCCAUUAAAUGGCUAUCCAUUUUCACUAUUCUAUCACUCCAAAGUGAAUUUACAAUCUCAACUACAAGGUAUUCACAAAUCAAAUCUCUAGUCAUUCUCAACACUAAAAUUUCAACUCUAAUUUAUUACUCACCUUAAUAGCUUUGAAACUUUGAAAUUCUUUCCAACAAUUCUCCAAACUAUUGUAAAGCUUCCUCUUUCUCUUUCUAAAACACCUAACUAGUGAAAGAGAGUAUGGAAACAAGAUUUUUUUCAAGGGUUUUAAAGUGAGAGAAUGGAAGAGCACAAGGGUUUAUGGAAAGGGUGCACCAAAAGCUUGAAAUUUGAAGCUAUUUAAAGAAGGGUGUGGAGCUUUCUUAUCAAGUUUUCAUGGAGGUUGGGAAGCAACGUGAAAGAGAAGAAGAAGAAGAAGAAGAA